rnacentral:rRNA from 1 species
CUGGCGGCAGGCCUAACACAUGCAAGUCGAGCGCCGUAGCGAUACGGAGCGGCAGACGGGAGAGUAACACGUGGGAACGUACCCUUUGGUUCGGAACAACCCAGGGAAACUUGGGCUAAUACCGGAUAAGCCCUUACGGGGAAAGAUUCAUCGCCGAAGGAUCGGCCCGCGUCUGAUUAGCUAGUUGGUGGGGUAAUGGCCCACCAAGGCGACGAUCAGUAGCUGGUCUGAGAGGAUGAUCAGCCUCACUGGGACUGAGACACGGCCCAGACUCCUACGGGAGGCAGCAUUGGGGAAUAUUGGACAAUGGGCGCAAGCCUGAUCCAGCCAUGCCGCGUGGGUGAUGAAGGCCCUAGGGUUGUAAAGCCCUUUCGGCGGGGAAGAUAAUGACGGUACCCGCAUAAGAAGCCCCGGCUAACUUCGUGCCAGCAGCCGCAGUAAUACGAAGGGGGCUAUCGUAGCUCGGAAUCACUGGGCGUAAAGC